rnacentral:lncRNA from 1 species
UCAGUCUAUCUGGCCUGUUUUCACGCCCCUUCAGUCUAUCUGGCCGGUUUCACACCCCUUCAGUCUAUCUGGCCUGGUUUCACACCCCUUCAGUCUAUCUUAGACACAGGAAGCUUGGUGCAAUAGAGAGGAGAAGAGAAGAGGAAACUGUCAUCAUGGUGGUGGUAGCGGCCAUGUUCCAGGUCACCUAGAGUGCAGUCCUGUUGCACAGACAAUCAGAUUGUUAAGUUAUAGAUAUACUGCAAUUUAAAAAUAUAUAUACAACUUUCUCAUCUAUGACCAAUUGGAUGUGCUCUGCAAAUGAGUACGUAGGAUUUCAUAUUACAAGAACUCUCAUCAAUUCAACUUAAUAACUAACAAACAACACGAGGGCGGCAGGGUAGCGUAGUGGUUAGAGCGUUGGACCAGAAGGUUGGACCAGAAGGUUGCAAGUUCAAACCCCCGAGCUGACAAGUACAAAUCUGUUGUUCUGCCCCUGAACAGGCAGUUAACCCACUGUUCCUAGGCCGUCAUUGAAAAUAAGAAUUGUUCUUAACUGAUUGCCUAGUUAAAAAGGUAAAUGUUUUAAUGUAGGUGACCUGGACAUGGCCCAUGCCUCUGGGCAUUCUGAAGUAAAAAAAAGUCAGAUAUUUGACAUCUUCCUGUAAUGCCCAAAUCAUAAUUCCACAUAGCCGAGUCUCUGACAUACUGCUUUUGUUCAUCAUUGGUCAUGAGUCAUGGAUGACAAGAGGCCACAUCAUUCGGGAAUGGAUAUGACGUCACAAAGGAACCAUCCAGUCUCAAUGUUCUCCUAACGGCUUCCCUCUGGAUCGACCAGUUCGGGUUCUAAAUCUUGGUUGGGAGCAUUAGGAUAGACUACCCACGACUACAUUACAAUCCAGUUGAAGUGGGAAGUUUACAUACACUAGGUUGUGAGUCAUUAAAACUCGUUUUUCAACCCACUCCACAAAUGUCUGUUAACGAACUAUAGUUUUGGCAAGUCGCUUAGGACAUCUACCUGUGCAUGACACAAAUACUUAUCCCAACAAUGUUACAGACAGAUUAGUUCACUUUAUUACAAUCCAGUGGGUCAGAGUUUACAUACACUAAGUUAACUGUGCCUUUAAACAGCUUGGAAAAUUACAGAAAUGAUGAUGUCAUGCCUUAGAAGCUUCAUAGGUUAAUGACAUCAUUUGAGUCAAUGGAGGUGUACCUGUGGAUGUAUUUCAAGGCCUACCUUCAAACUCAGUGCCUCUUUGCUUGACAUCAUGGGACAAUCAAAAUAAAUCAGCCAAAAUCAGACCUCAAAAAAUAUUGUGGACCUCCACAAGUCUGGUUCAUCCUUGGAGCAAUUUCCAAAACGCCUGAAGGACCACAUUCACUGUACAACAAUA